UUUCCGUAGGUGAACCUGCGGAAGGAUCAUUAGUGAAUUGAAUAUGUUAGCGGACCUCUUCGGAGUCCCUAGCAUCAAAUCAUAUCCAUAACACCUGUGAACUGUAAGGCUGUCUUGAAAACGAAAGUGAUUAGAGCGCCUGCUUAUUUAUACAAACAUUAAAGUAACAAACGUAGUCUUAUUAUAAUCUAAUAAAACUUUCAACAACGGAUCUCUUGGCUCUC
rnacentral:misc_RNA from 1 species